AAACAAUGACCUCAAGAAUUUCAGCCGUAGAGUGAAAGAUAGCAAGGUUCAAAGGUGGAGCUCCACUAUUUGGGGAAACUGGAUCCAAUUCCUUGACUGAGUGUAGUAUCGCAAUUAAAGCUGAAAGAGCCUCGGGGAAAUGAACCAGAGCCAACAAAGCUUUGCGUCCACAAUCAGAUCUGGAAAGACUACAGAGCUGCCAUACCGUCCACAGCAGAUCUUCAGAGUCUGGACUUGAUGUCACUAAACGAUCUAUGGCAGUGAUUGCCUUCAAAUGCAUCUCAAUGAUCAGAGCAACAUCACGUGGAUGACAAA
rnacentral:misc_RNA from 1 species